UCUUCAAUAAACCGGUCACUGCCUGACCACAAAAUCAACAUGGUGCAUCGACGCCCUAACGGGCUCGGUGUUUCCUCAAGACCCGCGUGGCAGGCGGGUCAGGCAGUGGGCUCAUUCCCCAUUCCAUUCUCAU
ensembl:ncRNA F19F10.13 ncRNA